CCCUUAGAUGUUCUGGGCAGCACGCGCGCUACAAUGGUCUUCGCAAACGGAUGCAUUCUCGAAGGAGAAUGCCAAUCUUGGAAUCUAUGCCUUGGUCGGGACAGUUGCUUGCAAUUUUUCGACUCGAACCAGGAAUUCCUUGUAAUCGUGAUUCAUCACAUCACGAUGAAUACGUCCCUGCCCCUUGUACACACCGCCCGUCGCUGCCCGGAACUGAGCCGUUUCGAGAAAGCCGGGGACCGACGACUUGUGGGUGCGCAAGCACUUCUAGUCGAUGGAAACCAGUUUAAUCGGUAUGGCUUGAACCGGGCAAAAGUCGUAACA
rnacentral:rRNA from 1 species